GGACGGGUGAGAUGCUGGGAAACUGCCCGAUGGAGGGGGAUAACUACUGGAAACGGUAGCUAAUACCGCAUAACGUCGCAAGACCAAAGAGGGGGACCUUCGGGCCUCUUGCCAUCGGAUGUGCCCAGAUGGGAUUAGCUAGUGGUGGGGUAACGGCUCACCUAGGCGACGAUCCCUAGCUGGUCUGAGAGGAUGACCAGCCACACUGGAACUGAGACACGGUCCAG
rnacentral:rRNA from 1 species